rnacentral:rRNA from 1 species
GACGAACGCUGGCGGCGUGCUUAACACAUGCAAGUCGAACGGUGACGGAGAGCUUGCUCUCCUGAUCAGUGGCGAACGGGUGAGUAACACGUGGGCAACCUGCCCCAGACUUCGGGAUAACGCUUCGAAAGAGGUGCUAAUACCGGAUACGAACUCCUUGGGCAUCCUUGGAGUUGGAAAGUUUUUCGGUCUGGGAUGGGCCCGCGGCCUAUCAGCUUGUUGGUGAGGUAACGGCUCACCAAGGCGACGACGGGUAGCCGGCCUGAGCGGGGAACCGGCCACACUGGGACGGAGACACGGCCCAGACGCCUACGGGAGGCAGCAGUGGGGAAUAAUGCGCAAUGGGCGAAAGCCUGACGCAGCAACGCCGCGGGGGGGAUGACGGCCUUCGGGUUGUAAACCUCUUUCAGCAGGGAAGAAGCGAAAGUGACGGUACCUGCAGAAGAAGCACCGGCUAACUACGUGCCAGCAGCCGCAGUAACAC